rnacentral:rRNA from 1 species
GGGGGGGGGGGGGGGGGGGGGGGGGGGGGGGGGGGCGGGGGGGGGGGGGGGGGGCGGGCGCCGGGGGGGGGAGCGGCGGGGGGGUGAGGAACACGGGGAUAACCGACCUAUAAGACUGGGGUAACUGCGGGAAACCGGAGCUAAUACCGGAGAAUAUAUUGAACCGCAUGGUUCAAUAGGGAAAGACGGUUUUGCGGUCACGUAUAGAUGGAUCCGCGCCGCAUUAGCUAGUUGGUAAGGUAACGGCUUACCAAGGCAACGAUGCGUAGCCGACCUGAGAGGGUGAUCGGCCACACUGGAACUGAGACACGGUCCAGACUCCUACGGGAGGCAGCAGUAGGGAAUCUUCCGCAAUGGGCGAAAGCCUGACGGAGCAACGCCGCGUGAGUGAUGAAGGUCUUCGGAUCGUAAAACUCUGUUAUUAGGGAAGAACAAAUGUGUAAGUAACUAUGCACGUCUUGACGGUACCUAAUCAGAAAGCCACGGCUAACUACGUG